AGGUAUGAGGAAAUGUCCCGUCGAGUGUAAGAAAUCAGCAACAUAAUUGAAUUCUGAGAAUAUAAAGUACUUAAUGUAGGUAAUAAUUUCUAAGGAAAAGAAGUGAUUUUUACAAAAAACCAACAUUUUACAUAAUAUCAAAGUAUGGAACGAAUCACCCUGUAUAGGUAAGUGAGAGAUUCCUCGAACAGUAUUCGUUACCUAGGUAACUGUUUACCUAGCAACAUAAUAAAAUCAAAGAGUAACCAAGUUGGUUACUCUUUGAUAAAAUGUCAAAGGAAAUUCACAACGACGUUUUAACGAGUAAGUUCAUCGAAUUUUCCAAAUACCAAAGCAGAGAUGAAGAAACAACUGGAAUAAGUUUAAGACAGAUUGAUCUUUGGCUGAGACAAGCCUCAAUUUUGGACAUGAAUCAUGUAACCCCAACGGAUACAGGUACAAUAUUUUUCAAGUUUGGAACUCGAACUAUCAAUUUCCAACAAUUUCUUCAAUUUUUGAGGGAUCUAGUAUCUGUUAGUGGUCACGCUCUGAGCGACAUAUUGAAAAAACUGGAAUAUUGCGAAGAGCCAAUGGAAGUGGAAGAACACGAUUUCUGUGAAAUUGAGACUAUAUCAACUAGGAGUCGAACUUCUAAAAAGAACUACCUGAGCGAUUUAAUGAAAGAUAUUUGAAGUGAAUGUGAUGUGGAGUUGAAAUUUGUUAUUGAGCUCAUAUACCUAAAUUUCUGUAUUAUCUGGCGCUUGACAAAACCUCAUCUGGAGUUGCAAACAUUGCAGCUCGAAUCUCCCAAAAGCCAUUGGAGAUCAGCAGGAAACCUCUAUGUAAAUUAGUUAUCAUUUUGCUUAAAAAAAUUCAGCAGCAUAUAGAAACAGCACCUGAUGAAUAGAAUAGAAUAGAAUAGAAUUGAACUCAAAUACA